CGUACACCUUGCAGUUGGGAACAUAAAUUGACAUGAGCGAAGUGGAAAAACAAUGUGGCAUCAAUAAAUAAAGUUGAACACUCAGUGCUCAGAAAUUCCAUUCGACAUCCACUGGACAAGAGCAUUCACGACAGCACUGUCCAUAAUAACAGAAAUCUGGGAAUAAUCCCAAUGCUCACUGACGAGAGAAGUCACCACAGGAUUCUUGGUUUCUCAUUCUUCUGGAGCUUACAAUCGUUGGUUCUAAAGUCAACACGAAGGGUGAAAAUCUCAUAGAAACUUAUGACAGAACAACAAUGUACCAUGCCAGUGAAUGGUCCAACAUAGCCAGUUUCUUCCCAGCACGGAGCAGAUCACUUAUUCUUCAGUUGAGCACCAGACAAGAACUCAAAGAUUUGAAUUCAUGCAAGGUAAGUGCUUAUGUGGUAGACUAUCUUGUAUUUACUUUGGAGUUUCUGGCUAUGACUACACAUCAAUCUCCUCUCUGAGUUUUAUAAAGCUCUUGAAAGGAACACAGCAAGAAUAUCUCUGAGGAGCUUUGUG
rnacentral:lncRNA from 1 species